rnacentral:tRNA from 1 species
GUGAUCAUAGCUCAGUUGGUAGAGCGCCAGUUUGUGGCACUGGAUGUCGUGGGUUCGACCCCCACUGAUCACCCA